CCUACGGGAGGCAGCAGGGGGAAUAUUGGACAAUGGACGAAAGUCUGAUCCAGCCAUGCCGCGUGCAGGAUGACGGCCCUAUGGGUUGUAAACUGCUUUUAUACAGGAAGAAACACCCCCACGUGUGGGGGUUUGACGGUACUGUACGAAUAAGGAUCGGCUAACUCCGUGCCAGCAGCCGCGGUAAUACGGAGGAUCCAAGCGUUAUCCGGAAUUAUUGGGUUUAAAGGGUCCGCAGGCGGUCUAUUUAGUCAGAGGUGAAAUCCUACAGCUCAACUGUAGAAUGGCCUUUGAUACUGGUAGACUUGAGUCAUUGUGAAGUGGUUAGAAUGUGUGGUGUAGCGGUGAAAUGCUUAGAUAUCACACAGAAUACCCAUUGCGAAGGCAGAUCACUAACAAUGUACUGACGCUCAUGGACGAAAGCGUGGGGAGCGAACAGGAUUAGAUACCCUGGUAGUCCACGCCGUAAACGAUGGAUACUAACUGCUCGACCUUCGGGUUGAGUGGUCAAGCGAAAGUGAUAAGUAUCCCACCUGGGGAGUACGCUCGCAAGAGUGAAACUCAAAGGAAUUGACG
rnacentral:rRNA from 1 species